GCGAAACAAAAAUUCCGCUAAGUACCCUCAACCCACCGAAACUGCCCCGGUGCCCCACAUAUUGUCUAACCCUAGCUCAUCUCCCUCCGCCGCCGCCCACCAUUUCUCUUCCCAUCCAAUCCCCUACCGCGCCACGCCACGCCGAUUCCCCGCUGUCAAGCAUGCCGCCACCCCGGCCCUCCCAUCCCCCACUCAUCGCACCUCGCAGCAGAGGCAACCCCCCAUGGCCACCGCCGUGUCUGAUGUGGUGAGCAAGGAGGCACUGGCCUUUGUCAACUACUCACGGAUGGAAGGCCUCACAAUCGUCGACGCCCGAGAGAUGAUGAUGUGGACCAAUCCACGAGGCUGAUGGAUCUAGACGCCGAGCUUACAACCAAGCAAUCUUGACCCACGACCCCAACCUCUCUACAGCUGGAUCCCUCCGCCCCUGACAUCUCUCCUUACCAUCUUCCCCAGAUCGUUCCCAUCUCUCCCCUUCUCGAUCUGUUUCCUCGACCUUUCGUGCCGUUUUGAUAGGUUCUGAUUCGAUUUGCUAUUGGUGUCGCAGGCUCAGCACCAGGCCCUCUGUGCUGCAACUAGAUCCAACCGCGAUGGAUGAGAUCGCUACCCGCCCCGACGAAUUUGGUUGUGGUAUCAGUUCUUAAGCUACUGGAUUCGGUGACUAUAGCCAGUUUCCCGAUCUCAACAAGGUGAUGUUGCCAUCUUCUCUCAUCCUUUUCCACCUCCUAGGUCGCCCGCUUAAUUCUCGUACCAGUAUCACUAUGUUUUGGGCCGCCCACAGUUGCUACGAGGCCUACAUAAUGGUUGCUUGCUGGGCUCUGUUUCGAUAUGAAAUCACACUGCUCUUCCUGCUAGGGUUCUUAGGCUAUCUCUUGCUGUUUUAUCUCUAGAAUUCUUGGAUGGGUUCGAAUGGCCUGUAGAUCUAUUUAUGCAGGAACUUAGUAAAUUCUCAGCCUAGAUCUGGAAUAAAUGUUAUUCUGAACAUUUGGCAUGUAUGAUUCUUCAUUUUGAUUUGUUGAAUAUAUGUGACUGUUCAGGAUGCAAUUGAAUAUGUAUUGACCUGAAAGAUCGUUCCACCUGUUCUUGUUUCCUUGCAUCUUUGAUUACAUAGACAUCUAUACAGUUUUGUAUGGAUGAUACUUGAGGAGUGUUUUAUAAGUUCGUAUUUUUACACACUGCCCUCAUGUUGGGACACCCAUAGCUUUCAAUUUGAUGGACUUUCUGAUAUUUAAUCACUGACCAUCCAUAGCAAAGCUCAAAGAUUUCUCAAUUAAACGCACAUAUUUAUACACUGUUGUUACCUUGCAAGAUUGUAAUAAAAUGCAGAUUUAGCUGCAGUAUGUGAUAGUUACUGCUAGUAUAUUGAAUUUAGAUGAUAUUUUGUUUCUUAGGUAGGCUUGUGCUAUAUUUAUUUUUACCUGAGUUCAUACUUGUCUUAUAUGGUUGCUUGUUUGUGCGCGGUGUAGGACGAUCUAGGAGAACUAGGAGAGCUCAAGAACCAGCUGCCCUACCACAUUGACAACACCGUCUAGGUUCUCAUAAAUUUAAAUGUCCUUGUUUGUUGAUUUCGCUGAAGCCCAAGCUUUUGCUAGAAGUUCGCAGGAUAGCCUGCAAUCUGUUACUAUGAGUUGACAACCACAAGAGAUUGUUGAGAUAGAGGCUAAUACAGAAGCGUUCAUGCAGAUAAUCAACGCACAAGUUUUCGAGGAGUACCCUUCAUGCAGGUGCUGGAGCAGGUGAGCGGACCAAUCAGCUGUGUUUUCCAAGGCGAGGUACACCGUUAGGUCUUUUGGUAUCCGGCGGUAAUGAGAAGGUUGCAUGCUACAUGAUGGUGAGGGGGAGCUAACAGUAACUCUCGGAAGCACAUGUUCUACAGAAGUUCCAGGCUGAAAGAAGUUUGAAUAGGCGUGAUUCCUUACUCAGCCAAAAUUUUAGUUAUUAUACGAUGUAAUAGAAAGAUUCUGUGUAAUAGACUGAUUCUUUGUAAUAGAUGUAUUAUGGUUGUUAUUUGAAGUACAACUUGUGAUUUCUGCCUGAUCUGAUUUGUAUGUUCGUUUAUUGUUUUCUGGCAAAAUAUGGAAAUUGAUAUCUGCACAA